UUGAGGAAACAUUACUCUGAUUUUCUUGUCCAAAGGUGAGAAAGCUUUGGAAAAAAAAAAACAAAGAAACAGAUUUCCCUUUUAUUAUUAUUAUAUAUAAAUCCUAGUUAUGGUGCAGAUAAAAUAAAAGAGCUGGAUGCUGUUGUCAUAGUCUUGCCAGAGCACCUGAAAAAAAGAAAGAAAACAGGAAAGGUCAGGGGGGAUGGCUGUGGGGAAAAGUGAGACAUGCAAAUGCAAAAUGCAGGAAAGCAUUGGGUUUUUAUGGUUGUCCAAGGCGCAUGUGAGGCGGAGCAGCUGGGCCGGCCGAGCCACCCUCGCCUACCCUAUGGGUAUGAAAUAAAAAGCGAUGACAAAGAUGGGUCCACCUCUCAUUUACCAACUCCUACGGUGACUCGCCUCACGGCCCAUAUGAGACAACAAGCUGCCCCCUUUCUCCUACCACACGUUUUCGCACUUCUCUUUUAUAUUUGAGAUCGAAUUGG
rnacentral:lncRNA from 1 species